rnacentral:tRNA from 1 species
GCGGACGUAGUGUAGCGGUUAUCACCGUGGGUUGCCAAUCCAUGAACCCGGGUUCAAAUCCCGGCGUCCGCA